GAUGAACGCUGGCGGCGUGCCUAAUACAUGCAAGUCGAGCGAACGGACGAGAAGCUUGCUUCUCUGAUGUUAGCGGCGGACGGGUGAGUAACACGUGGAUAACCUACCUAUAAGACUGGGAUAACUUCGGGAAACCGGAGCUAAUACCGGAUAAUAUUUUGAACCGCAUGGUUCAAAAGUGAAAGACGGUCCUGCUGUCACUUAUAGAUGGAUCCGCGCUGCAUUAGCUAGUUGGUAAGGUAACGGCUUACCAAGGCAACGAUGCAUAGCCGACCUGAGAGGGUGAUCGGCCACACUGGAACUGAGACACGGUCCAGACUCCUACGGGAGGCAGCAGUAGGGAAUCUUCCGCAAUGGGCGAAAGCCUGACGGAGCAACGCCGCGUGAGUGAUGAAGGUCUUCGGAUCGUAAAACUCUGUUAUUAGGGAAGAACAGAUGCGUAAGUAACUGUGCACAUCUUGACGGUACCUAAUCAGAAAGCCACGGCUAACUACGUG
rnacentral:rRNA from 1 species